CCGGGCAACGGUUCGAAUCCCGUGCAACUAAGGUUGAUUUAUAUAAUAUUAAAUAACUUAAUAUUAAAUAACUUAUUUAAUAUUAAUUCAUAAUUAAAUAACUUAUUUAAUAUUAAAUAACUUAAUAUUAAAUAACUUAACUUAACUUCAAUUUCAAUUUCUAAAACACAAGAUGUCAUAGUUUUUGUAUUUUCCCUCAUGUUUUAAUGUUGUCUUACUUUCUUU
rnacentral:lncRNA from 1 species